rnacentral:tRNA from 1 species
GCAGUCGUGGCCGAGUGGUUAUGGCGAUGGACUAGAAAUCCAUUGGGGUCUCCCCGCACAGGUUCGAAUCCUGUCGACUGCG